AAAAGCCUCUAGAUAGAAAAUAGGUGCCCGUACCGCAAACCGACACAGGUAGUCAAGAUGAGAAUUCUAAGGUGAGCGAGCGAACUCUCGUUAAGGAACUCGGCAAAAUGACCCCGUAACUUCGGGAGAAGGGGUGCUCUUUAGGGUUAACGCCCAGAAGAGCCGCAGUGAAUAGGCCCAAGCGACUGUUUAUCAAAAACACAGGUCUCUGCUAAACCGUAAGGUGAUGUAUAGGGGCUGACGCCUGCCCGGUGCUGGAAGGUUAAGAGGAGUGGUUAGCUUCUGCGAAGCUACGAAUCGAAGCCCCAGUAAACGGCGGCCGUAACUAUAACGGUCCUAAGGUAGCGAAAUUCCUUGUCGGGUAAGUUCCGACCCGCACGAAAGGCGUAACGAUUUGGGCACUGUCUCAACGAGAGACUCGGUGAAAUCAUAGUACCUGUGAAGAUGCAGGUUACCCGCGACAGGACGGAAAGACCCCGUGGAGCUUUACUGUAGCCUGAUAUUGAAAUUCGGCACAGCUUGUACAGGAUAGGUAGGAGCCUUUGAAACGUGAGCGCUAGCUUACGUGGAGGCGCUGGU
rnacentral:rRNA from 1 species